UACGGAGGGUGCAAGCGUUAUCCGGAUUCACUGGGUUUAAAGGGUGCGUAGGUGGGCAGGUAAGUCAGUGGUGAAAUCUCUGGGCUUAACCCGGAAACUGCCGUUGAUACUAUCUGUCUUGAAUGUAGUGGAGGUGAGCGGAAUAUGUCAUGUAGCGGUGAAAUGCUUAGAUAUGACAUAGAACACCCAUUGCGAAGGCAGCUCGCUACACUAUUAUUGACACUGAGGCACGAAAGCGUGGGGAUCAAACAGG
rnacentral:rRNA from 1 species